CCGCGUCCGUCCUCCUCUUCCUGGCGACUACGAUGGUGGCGGCGCGAGCUCGAGAGAGAAUCGAAUGCAUAUAGACGUCUAGCUCGCUGCUGCUACUGCCGCUUCACCGGGGCUCGAUAAGGAGUCUGUUCAGCUCGGUGAGAGCAUGGAGGAGAAAGGAGGCAGGAAGGAGCUCACCGUCCUCACGCUGUCCGCGAGUUUUCAAUGCCUUGGAAUUAUACUCAACUCAGCUCCAGCAUAAAACAGCCACAAGGUGAGGCACUGCAUCGUAGUGUUAUGUAUACAUGUGCUUUCGUCAUAUAUUUUUCUUUAUUUAACAUUACCAUUGUGAUUUACCACAUGUAAAUAUUGUUGGUAAAGAUGAUUAUUAAAGUUUGUUUGUCAAAUUGUAAUCAUGGAUAAUCUUGAUUUCUCAUUUAGUAGUUCCUGCUUUAAAUCAAAUGAAAGCUUUGGGUAUAAGGCCUGAUGAUGACACAUGCAUACUGCAUAGUAGCAUUUAUUCCAGUACAAUAAACAUGUGAUGAUAAAUAAUGUACUGCAGUAGUGUCUUACUAUAAAUAACCCUUUAAAUACAUUCUUAGUAUGUGUACAUUUCUCAUACUUUUAUUAUUACGUGAUCUAUAUAUUAUAUACUUUUCCAUCUAAGCAUUAUCAAAUCUAAGCAACAGCUCAGAAGGUCAAAUGCUAGAAGGGCAAUCCCCACCUGCCAAGGCUUUGAAUGUUUGUAUUUCUUACCACCUCCCCUUUAAAAAAAAAAAAAAAACACUAGACUGUUAAUGCUACUUAAGCCAUAAUCAUUAAAGGGCAACUCUGUGAUAUUUUGAUUAGUCCUUUCUCUAUGGACGGGUGUGAGGCCUGCAAAAAUCACAGUUUGGAAACUCUAUCAGAUUUAAUCAACUCUGUUUUUCAUCAAGAUAGGUUUUUUCCUCUGCAAUCAAUGUUUAAAGCACUCCUUCACCAGCAGAGGUAGACGGAGGCCCCUGUUUCCCUUUACUGGGGGCUUCCUGCACACCCGCUGUGUCUCCACAGGGCCCCUGGAGAGAGGGCAUGCCGUUAGCCUAGCUAAACGAUCAGAUGAUGGCCCUGUUAUGAGAAUGGAUUCAGAAAUUAGAGAUUUCAGACAAAGAUUGCACACCUCCUCCCUCUCCUGCCAGCUGGUUAAGAUUAUGAUUGAUUUGUUAGAGGUGAACUAUAGGAAGCAGGCAUCGAUUUUUUAAAUGAUUCCCUUCCAACCUUCAAAAAAAAAAUACAGUUGUAACCACAGGACAGUAUUACCAUUAGUAUUUCUUUUCAUCUAUUUUGUGUCUCUUUCUCCUUCAUCAUCCC